ensembl:lncRNA
UCCACAGAAAAAAAACUCAUGAACUUGGAGAACAGACUUGUGGUUGCCCAGGGGGAGGAGGAGGGAAUGGGAUGGACUGCGAAUCUGGGGUUAAUAGAUGCAAACUAUUACCUUUGGAAAGAAUUAGCAAUGAGCUCCUGCUGUAUAGCACUGGGAACUAUAUCUAGUCAUUUAUGAUGGAGCAUGAUGGAGGAUAAUGUGAGAAAAAGAAUUAUAUAAGUAUGUUUGAUUGGGUCACUUUGCUGUACAGUAGGAAAUUGACAGAACACUGUAAACCAACUAUAAUGGAAAAAAUAAAAAUCAUUAAAAAAGAAAAGAUUAGAUAUAUCUGUUGGAGGUAUCCAGUGAUCUGCCUUCUAAUUUUUCCUGACCCAUGAUUAGACAUGCUUUUAUUAUGUGCCAUUGACACUCAAUGAUUAUUCCAUCCAUGAUUUAGGAUUAGUGUGUCUGAUACUUAAUGAGGGUGGGCUUUUUAUGAUACAAGGCAGAGAAUUUCAUAAAUUAUUUUAAAGUUUUCGAUGAGUAUGGUAAGAUAGAGAUGAUGGUUCCAAAAACUCUUGGAGAGAAACACAGUUUGUUCGUAUCUCUGUCCAUAUGUAUGUCUUGGCUAAAUUCUCCCUCCCCAACUGUGCCGAAGACCUGGAAUAGACAGAAGAGAGCUGUGAAAACCUGGAAAGUACUGCUUUGGGAUUUUCUUAACAUUGAGAAAAUGGAGGAGUCCUUGUUACUAACAGAAUCCUCUUCUUGAAGAAAUGGAAUUUUUUCAUGGAGGAAGAAUUGACAAACAAGGGAGAGCCUCACAAAUAAAACACCUGAAAACAACACCUUAAUACACUUUCAGGUAACCAGAAUAUAAGAAAUUUACCUCAAUAUGACCUUUUAAAAUAAAUCACCAAACAGGGAGUUUGUUGUUUUGGAAAAGAGAAACCACUUCUCGUUUCAACUGCUAUGUUAAAAUUAACAAAUGGAGGAAGAAGUGGAGAAAAUGAGAUUUCAGAACUUUUCCAUUCAGCUCUGGCCUCCUGAGUACCUUCUCCAUGCUGUCAGUCUCUCUCCCUUCCUGCUGUUUCUUUUAAUCCCACAAAGCCAGAAUUUGGUCUUUGUGGUGUUGACCUAAAAACAAUACCUGUAGGGAGCCUAGGCUGAGGGGAGGAGGAUUCUUGGCAUGUUUUUGGCAAUUUGAGCUCACAGAUUAUGUUGAGAUUGAAAAUCAAACUAGAUUUUUAUCUCAGAAAGACGUAUUAAUGCAAAUACAUGCAAUGUAUUACUUAUCAACUUCAAGGGCUGUGGACUCCCUGAAGCCCAUCUUGGGGCAGGAACUGUGCCUGUUUUGAGAUAGUAUCUAAGGGCUUCCUCUUUGCCAAGCUCACUGUUAGGAGCUAACAGAGAAGAGAGGGAGAUAAAAAUUAAAUCUGGUGCUUGGGGAAUCCAGCCCAUCACUUGCUGAAAGGGAUUCAGCUUUAUGUUUUCCAGAUUAUUCUCAUUUUCUCCAUUCUCUAAAUACUUGGACAGUCAGUUUUUUAAGUACAUACAACUUCUGCCAGCAUUGUUGCUAUGGUAACAGAGGACCUGAUGUUAGGAGCAGAGCAACAGGGAGGGAAAAAGUGGAGAAAAUUGGGGUUUGAGUUGGUCAUUUCCUCUCUGUGCCAUUUUUUUUUAAUUUAUGGCCCCACCCAUGGCCUAUGAAAGUUCCCAUACCAGGGAUUUAAUCCAGCUGCAACUGCAACCUUAGCCACUGGACCCUUUAACCCACUGUGCUGAGCCAGGGAUCAAACCCAGGCAUCUGCAGGGAACUGAGGCACUGACAUUGGAUUCUUUUUUUUUUUUUUUCCUUUUUAGGGCUUCAAGUGCAGCAUAUGGAAGUUCCCAGGCUAGAGUUAUAAUCAGAGCUACAGGUGCUAGUCUACACCACAGCCACAGUUACACCAGAUCUGAGCCAUGUCUGUGACCUACACAACAGCUCAUGGCAACACCAGAUCUUUAACCCACUGAGUGGGGCCAGGAAUCAAACCCACAUCCUCAUGGAUACUAGUGGAGUUCCUUUCUGCUGAGCCACAGCAGGAACUCCAAGAUUCUUAACCCACUGUGCUACAGCAGGAACUCACCUCUCUGUGCCAUUUGGGCACAUUUAACUGUUAUAAAACAUCGGAGGCCACAUAUAUUUUCUAAGUAUCAAAAUAGAAGUUUCUUUGGAGUUGCUAAUUCAUUCUGUGAGGACUUACAGGAGGAUUUUCCCAGGAGAUCUCAUUCAUGUACAAAAUUUUGACGAAGGUGGGAGGAAAAAUCCACUGAGGAAAAGUUAGAUUGAAAAAAAAAUAAAAGGAUGGGGGGAUAGCAAGUAUGUGGACAGUAAGAGUGAAGGAAGUUAUUGCAAGACUUUAGGAUGAGAUGCAACUCUUUUUGUCUCCUCUCUGCCCUUUAAUAUGGAGUAAUUAGCAUGUGGUUUACACAUAGACAUUACCUCUGGAUAUAACCGAGAAUUUAUGCAAUAUUUGACAUUGAAUAGAAAGUAAAUAGUCUCAUAAUUUAAAAUCAUGAAGCUCUUAGCCUCUUGCUUCUCCCCUUUACUUGUCCUUGUUCAGUCAUCCAGCCCAUAUACUGAACAUGGACUGAACCAAUGCACUAUCACAGACUCAAGGCCCUUUACUCUGCCCAUUUUAGAAAAUCAUAUUUUCCAAGAAGGAGGAAUUACCUCUGCAUAUAGUUAGAAAAUGUAUGCAAAAGUUGAUAUUAUCAACAAUUGUAUAAUUUAAAAUUAUAGUCUCAAAGAUGACACAACACAAAGUGAGUUGACCACUGAGCCCACCCUUGAUGCUUAUUAACUUUGUGACUUUGCAGAAAUCACAUAACCUCACCCAACCAUGGUAUUUGAUCAUUUUUAGUGUAAGAGAUAGAUAUGUUUGGCAGAUAUUCAAUAACAUAAAAUAACUCAUCUAUCCUUCAGAAUAGAACAAUGAGGUAGAUACCAUUCUAUAUUUUAAAAAAAUUACAGAGGUGUAGAGAAGUUAAGAAACUUGCCUGAGAUCUCCCAGAGAGUGAGCAUCAGAGCUGAGGGGUUGAAACGUAGGUGGUCUGGCUCUAGAGGCUGUGUUUUUAGAUUUGGUUUUUGCUGGUUUGCAAACUGGACACAGAGGACAAGGAGAAACUGAGGAAAGAUACAGACCACUCCAGAUUGGUAGGUGACAGGUUUAAAGCAAUGGAAUGUGCAUACAAGUCUUAUCUCUUCAGCUGCAAGAUGAGUGGAUCUGCCCCACACUCCAGAAUCUUAAAAAAAUAAAGAGAAGCCUUAACUGGGUUUAGUGAUGUAUUCAGUCUAGAUGGUUUCAACAAUACCAUGUUCUCUCAAGGCUGUGUCCUUGGAACAGCUCUCACUGUGGGAAUCAUGCACAGAGUAUACAUUCCAAGCACAGAGAGAGGGUGAGGAGACCAAGUCCACCUCAUGGGUCAACCAGCAAUUGCAUGCUCUCAAUGACCUCCUGCAAUAGUCCUUUUCAGCUCUCUAUAAUUAAUGCAGGUUGAAUAAAAUAUUUUUCAAGACUAAGGCAUAUUUCUUUUGAAAGUAGAAAUUUGCAUAUAUGGCAGAUUCUUAGGAUUAUUUAGGAGGAAAUUUUUUCCUGCAUGAGAUCAUUUUUCAAAAGAACUAUUUUAGUCAUAAGCUAUUUAAGUACAUAUAUACCUUUGGGGGUUUUUUAAUAAUGAUUUUUAUUUUUUCCAUUAUAGCUAGUUUACAGUGUUGUCAGUUUUGUACUAUACAGCAAGGUGAUCCAGUCACACAUACAUGUAUACAUUUUUUUCUCACAUUAUCAUGCUCCAUCAUAAGUGCCUGGAUAUAGUUGCCUGUGCUAUAUAGCAGGAUCUCAUGGCUUUUCCAUUCCAAAGGUAAUAGUUUGCAUCUAUUAACCCCCAAUUCCCUGUAUAUCCCACUCCUUUCCCAUCCUCCUCCUCCUUUGCAACCACAAGUAUGUUCUCCAAUGUCCAUGAU